UCUAUGGAGGUUUAAUGGACGUCCAUUGGACAUUUACUGGGUGCCAAUUUCUAUGUGGUUUAAUCCUGUGAAAAUAAGUUGUUUUUCGGAAAGACUGUAAUCUCCAAGCUUAUCAUAAAGGAUGGGAUCACAUUUGAUUGCAAGACUUUCUAUCAUUUGCGAUAAUUCCGAAGGACUUAUACUUGAUGAAUUAGAAUAAACCUUCAAAAGAUCAAGGUCAUCGUAAAAUCGAUUUUUAAUUAAGUGAGUUUGGCAGCAUCGAUUUCCUCUUGGUAUGUGAAUUUUCAUCUUAAUAUAAGAUUGUAUCAUAGCUUCUUCUGGAAUAACUGUAAGAUUUGUUGUGACAGAACAAAGACAACAGUAUUUAUGAGUUGGAACUAUUCUUUGAAUUGAAACUUCAACUGCCUCAAUAUUUGAUUCUUCUACUUCAGGUUUGAAUCGAAUUGUUGGAUCAUCGGAAGUUGAUUGUGAUUUAUUGAUCUUGUUCUCAGAAAUCAAGCAAUCAACAUCAAGCUUUUCCUAUUUAUAUUGGAAAACUCAACAUUUUGAACACAAAAUAUCAUCAAGAACAAUCGUUCGUUGAAGUUUGUUAGAAAAAUUCGUUGCUUCAUCGUCAGUUUUAAUUUUUUUCUCUGGCCAUGUACUUUAAAUAAAAACUUAUUACAUCCAGCAUAUCUAGGAUUUUUAUUUGUUGCAGACAUUUCUUACUAUGACAAAUCAAAUCAAGUAUGAUAAACGAAAAUCCAAAGCAAGUAUUUUUAAUUGAAAAGAAUGUGCACGAGAAAAACACAAGAUGCUUUAUAAUAUUUUAAAAUGCGCGAAAGAAGCUCAAAUAACAUACAAAACAAUUUCGUACUUUUACGUCAAAUCGUCAUCUAAAUUGGAAUAAUAUGAAUAUAUCAGCAGCAAAGAACAAAUGAGAUAAUCGCAGAACUAGAUAAAUGUUUCUAAAAGAAAUUACUAAAGCUUUCUUUACAUAACGAAGAUUUAGUAAACGAAAUAACUGGCAAGAAAAAAUACCACACGGAAUCUAUUCUUUCAAAAGAAAAUUAAAUGAAUGCAAGAAAAAACUCAACACGCUAACAUGGAGACACUGAUUACUCAACAGCGAAAAAAACAAAUGAAAAUCGCAGGAGCACAUAAACAAAGAUAGACGGAACAUUAGCUGUCAAUCAGGAUAAGAGUUCUAAAAUUUGUGGUAAGAGGGUAACCUGCGCGGGUAGUUUAUUCUUUGGUCGACUUCGCUCGAUAAUGUUUGACUAAUGAUUCGGCUCAUCGCGACAUCGUGACGUAGUUGACGGAAUUAGCUGAAGUACAUGUAGCCUCUUCCCCCUUACUGCAAUUUUUAGAUACCCCUCUCAGAAAGCUCCGUCUCUCUAUUCUUUUGUGUAUGCAGGAGCACAUAUCAGCAGGAAAUCAAUGCUGCCGAACUUGAUGUGAAAAAAA